AUUGAACGCUGGCGGCAGGCCUAACACAUGCAAGUCGAGCGGAUGAAGGGAGCUUGCUCCUGGAUUCAGCGGCGGACGGGUGAGUAAUGCCUAGGAAUCUGCCUGGUAGUGGGGGAUAACGUCCGGAAACGGGCGCUAAUACCGCAUACGUCCUGAGGGAGAAAGUGGGGGAUCUUCGGACCUCACGCUAUCAGAUGAGCCUAGGUCGGAUUAGCUAGUUGGUGGGGUAAAGGCCUACCAAGGCGACGAUCCGUAACUGGUCUGAGAGGAUGAUCAGUCACGUGGGAAAGGAGACGCGGUGCAGACGCCUACGGGUGGCAACAGGAGGGAAUCGUCAGGAAUGGGCGAAAGUGUGACGGAGCAACGCGGAGUGAGUGAUGAAGGUCUUCUGAUGGGAAAACGCUUUGAUGAGAGAAGAAGAAAAGUCUCAGUAACAAUGCGCGUCUGGACGGGACCUAAUCAAAAAGCCACGGCUAACGACGUG
rnacentral:rRNA from 1 species